CUCACACAUUUUUAUCACCCCCUAUAAAGUAUCUGAGUAUUUGUAACUUCCUAUAGGAAUUUGUUAAACUCCUAAAAACCCAUUGGUGUCACUAAAGCAGUUUUAACUGCAGUCUUCUAGACAGAGGUCUCAGAUGUUGUUCCUGGGAUCUGCAUUCUGACAUAGUUCCCAGAGCUCAGAGAAGAAAUUUAGUGGGAGGCAGGACCUGAGGUGCUGAAGGUCAAGUCUCUCGAAGGACUUCAUUACAAUGGAAGUAACUGCAGUGGGUCUUUAUUCAUUCAAGCUACUUAUGGCUGCUUUCCUUGGGACUGGGAAAAUUAUAGUUGCUUCCAGUACCUAAUUGCAGGGAGGUGUUAGAAACCCUAAUUAGUUCCCCUUGGUCUGUACACACUUCAAACUCUUUGUGCCUGACAUUCCACUACUGUUACAUUUACACUCAGGUCUUGAUGAUUUAUUAUGGGUACAACGAUUUCACUGAAGAAACAAAAAAAUGUGUCAGAGCUUCUGCUGAUGUUGUGUUUUAUCAUUUCAGUCCAACAGGUGGAGGUAGAAUCAGGGGAGGAUUUUGUCCUGCUGCCUUGUGAAGCCAAAGACCUGCCUGAAGACAUCAGAGUAGAGUGGAAGGACAGAAAAAGCAGGAAGGUCCAUGUUUAUCAGAACGGUUUUAAUCUGGCUGGAGAACAACACAAUAUUUACAAAAGACGAACAGAGUUGAAGAGAAACCAGCUGGUACCUGGAGACGUCAGUCUGAGUCUGAAGAACCCAACAGAGGAAGACACAGGAUUCUUCACCUGCAUCGUUUACAACAGGGAGGGAAACAUUCUGAUGAAGAAACAGGUGGAGCUGAAUGUCAAAGUCCAACAGGUGGAGGUGGAGUCAGGGGAGGAGUCUGUCCUGCUGCCUUGUGAAACCCUAGACCUGCCUGAAGACAUCAGAGUAGAGUGGAGGAACAAAGCAAACAGGAGGGUCCAUGUGUAUCACACCGGUUCUGAUCAGCCUGGAGAACAACACAGUUUUUACAGCGGACGAACAGAGAUGCAGAGAAACCCUGUGAAACCUGGAGACGUCAGUCUGAGUCUGAAGAACCUAACAGAGGAAGACACAGACACCUUUACCUGCACCGUCUUCAACAAGGAGGGAAACAUCCUGAUGAAGAAACAGGUGGAGCUGGAGGUCAAAGGUCAGUUUAAGUCUAGGGUCAGUUGUUACAAUUGGUCACAAAAUAAUUUGCAAAUCUCAUCAAUCCACAUUUGGUUCAUAGAACAUAACCAUGUUAGCUUUUGAACCUGAGACCUUAGAUCAAAUAUGAAUGAAUGCCCUCAAAAAACAAAUGUUUCAUAUGAAACUUAAUUUCUUAGACGCUUUACAUUUAAAUUCUCAUAUGCAAAAAUAUUAGCUUUAAAAUGAAAGGCUUUUUUGUGUUUUUCAACUGUACUUGCAUGUAAUAUAAAAUGCAUGCUGGGAGUUUGGUAGCAAAGAGCAUGGUAAGUGUUUGCUAAGAUUCUACUGUACAUAUUGAGUGUGGACUGUGGUUGUAGUUUUUGUACAAAGCACGAUAAAAAUGAGAAAACACAGCUUUACAUGUUCUCUUUCUCCCUGGAUCUAAUUCUGUGUAAAUUUGAACUGAAUGUUAAUGGACAAUAUUAACUGCAUUAGAGCUGGUUACAAACAAAUGAUUUUCAUAUAAUGUAAUCCUCUAAAUUGUAUUACAACAUUCAUUUAAACACUAAAUUGUACAUUGGAUGUUAAAACUAAAAGAAGCAAGACUCAGUAGGAGAAAGACCACUCUUCAAAAUAAUACAUGAGGAGAGUGGACAGCUGUUUGGAAGCUGAAAAAUGAAGUUGGUGCUUAGAUAAAAAACUAAAACAACUGACUCCAUGUUAAAACAAACACAGCAAAUACUUUGUGAAGUCAACAAUUAAGGACUUACUUUUCACUACAUGUGGCACUUACUCUAGAUCAGGAAUCACCACAGCAAAUGAUUCUGUGGCUAGAUUUAAACUCAAUAUUUGUGUCACGAGGACAAUGCGCUGCAACUGCGUUAAACGCCCAGGCUUAAAUCAUAAAUAUGAUAGACUGAAACAUGCAUAAGCUUCCUUUUGGUGAACCGCAGGAGACAUCCAGCUCAUAGUUAUUCUCUUCAGCACAGAUUCAACAUAAAGGGAGAACCAGGAAAUGAAAUGAAAACUUUAAAAUGACUUUGGUUCUGACCAGAAACAAGAGCUGGUCCCUCCCUUUUCCAUGAUGUUCAAAUUGUGUUUUGUGAAACUGUUACAUGUUGUAUGCUCCCUUACUCAUUAAUACAUACAUACACAUACAUACUGUACAUAUAGCACUGAGAAUGAUCAUUGCACUCUUGGUACCAAGAUAUUACAAAAACGUUGAACAUCUCAUGAUCCUCCAGUAUGAACAAAGCUGGUGUUGAGUUUAUGAAAGAGCAGAAAUGUUCAGCUUUGUAAGUGAAGUUCUCAUGACAGACAUGCUAUUUGUAAUUUUUCUUUAGCAGUGUACAGUAUGUUUUACAAAGAUAAAGGUCAGUUACAUAGAAGUUCUGACUGUCUUCUGUCUCCUCUGCAGAGAGAACUCGGGGUCCAGAUGAACCAGUGGAUGUAAGAGACAGUGGCAGCCCCACUGCUUCCACUCCUCUGAUGGCGGAUCAGUUGGUCUGAUCUUCAGUCUCUGGUCUGUUGCUCUGUCAAAAGUUGUCUGACUCAUUUCUACGCUCUGAUAAUUGAGAGUUGAGUGACUCAUUCUCAUCAGAUGUAGCAGUUAAUGACAGUCACAGAGCAGAGAUGGUGUCUCAUAUCUCUCUGCAUGUACUGUAUGGCCAAAAGAAACAGUUCUCUGUCAGUGAUACUGUCCUGUCUGUACCUUAAUGUCCCAUUUGUCAUGUAGUUCUUUUAACACAGUGAUCUUGUGCUUUUCUGGCAACACCAGUUGUUUUCUGUGGACUGUAUGUCUCCACAAAUUGUCAUUCUCAUCUGUCUCCAGCUUUUCCCAUUCAUAAACAAGACAAAGACUUUGAACACUGAAGUUUUUCUGUUCUUUUUGCAAUAGUUUCCCUCCUGACAAUUUACUCCGCAACACUGGCCCUAUGUGUACAUGUCUCUGAUCCUGUUGUAGCUGUUCUGGUGUUAUCAAAGCAAUGAUCGUGUCUGUGGCAUCAAGCACACCAUCAACAGAGAUGGCCAUUGAUUCUAGCUGUGUCUCUACAGCCUGAGCAGGAGCUCCCACUGCAUCAUAAGACAUUUCUUCUGUGCACUCAUUCAUUAGUUCCUCUACAUUCAUGGGCAUUCUAGACAGACUAUCAGCAUCAAUGUUCUCUUUUCCAGGAUGAUAUUUAAUAGUAAAGUUAGCUAACUCAGCUACCCAUCGACUUCCUGUAGCAUUCAGCUUAGCAGUGAAGAAAAUGGUUGGGUGAAAUCUGGGAAUACUAAUGCCAAGUCCUUAAUGUACUGGUGAUAGUAGCUAAAAACUCCAGGUUCAACACCCUUAUGGCAGCAGUGUCAGCAGGAUCCAUCUUAUUCCUUCAGCCGAUACUACUCUUCCACUUUUUACUUUUGACUAAUUCAAUAAAAUUUGCUUGCCUUUAAUUUGAUUCCA
ensembl:lncRNA